UUUCAUGGACGUUGGCUGCUUCCUGGGGGACUGCUGUGUGGCUAGAGAUCCCUAUCACCAGUUGGGCAGGAAUGCAUCAUCCUCCUUUCAGUUCGCUGUCACAGAGGGCUUUGCACAGGCACUGUGUAACUCAGGGAGUCACCAGAAGAGGAGUGGAUAGUAGGUUGCCAAGUGAGUCAAUGAAAAGGACAUCCCUAGUUCCUGGACCGAGUUCCUAAAUGCCAAGAGAAGAACCUACCUGCUGGCUGAGCUCCCAGGCUGGCAGACAUUUUCUCCUGUCAGUGUUUGGCAGCCAUUUUACAUCAGCAUUUUCUCACUGUCGUCAGGUUGCCUCUGUAACACCAACAUGUUUCAGGGUGAGCUGCCUACCCAUGAGUUUCAGUUCAACUGUCCUUGUCUCCCAUUCAAGUUCACAACUUCCUUUCUUCCCCUAGUGGCUUGCUUUUUUCACUUUCAUAUUAUAGGCAGCCUUCCAGUGGAUUGUAACUUCAAUAUAUGGAAAAGGUAUUUUCAUGCCUUCCAGAAUUGUUCUAAUGUCCUUGCAUUGCUUACUAUGAGCAGCAGAGCCAAUUCAAUCACCAGGGGACCCUUUUUCAGUCCUUCAUUGCAAUCUAGUGCUGAACAUCUAAGCCCAAUGUGUUAUAUUCAAUAUGUGAUUGCAUUCAAUUGAUGGUCACAUUCAGUCUAUGAUCAUUCAUCAGAAAGUACUCACUGCAGAAUCCUUGAUGGUUUUAAUGUGGCUGUCUGUAGUGUUUAUUCAUAGUCUUAAUGUGAUUUUUUUUUUAGUCUAUUGCUGUACGUAUAGGCCGAGAGGAUUUGUUGCAGAAAGUAAUGCAGACAGACCUUUACACGUGGUCUUCUCAAAAGUUAUGUUUGAGAUUAGCUAAUUGUUUGUUGCUUAUUUUUGUGAAAAAGCUUGAUAUUUGGAAAGUGUAGUAGUCAU
rnacentral:lncRNA from 1 species